rnacentral:rRNA from 1 species
UACAGAGGGUGCGAGCGUUAAUCGGAAUUACUGGGCGUAAAGCGCACGUAGGCGGCUUGGUAUGUCGGGUGUGAAAUCCCCGGGCUCAACCUGGGAACUGCAUUUGAAACUGGCGGGCUUGAGUAUGGCAGAGGGGGGUGGAAUUCCGCGUGUAGCAGUGAAAUGCGUAGAGAUGCGGAGGAACACCGAUGGCGAAGGCAGCCCCCUGGGCCAAUACUGACGCUCAGGCACGAAAGCGUGGGGAGCAAACAGG